AGAAGGUGAGCUCAGACUUCCCGAUAGCAUUGCAGAAGCGUUUCUUGCUCUGGUCGUGCCCCACACAGGCGCGCUUUUCCUUCAGGGGCUGUGACUGGUUAUGGAAAACGGCACACCUGCCACUCUGUCAGACCAUGAGGUUUAAUUGAGUGAACACCGCUGUUCCAGGGCUCUGCCUUUCGCUGAACGCUCCUGCUGGGCUCGGGCCUCCCGAGUAGCUGGAAGUACAGAUAAUCACAGCUGGCUUAUCAAUAUUGCUGUUUGAUGCGAUCCUGACCAGUGCAGCCACGGGAUGCCUCCUGCUCGGUGCACUUGGAGAGGCCUUGCUGGUUUUCUCAGAGCGGAAGAGCUCCUGAACAAGACAGUCAAGAGAAGGAGACUCACAGGCUGCUGCGGGAGAACAUCGCCCCUAGUCUCAUAGCUCCCUGUUGAAUGUGUCAGAAAGAGGAACGCAAGGACAGUGAUGCCAGGUGGGCAGUGCCAUCACCCUCACACAAGUGAAUGUGGUGGUGGCUGAUGAGGCCGAGGCCCUGGUGCUUCAAGGAGCACCCUUUCUGGGGGUCUGCAGGUUGCUGCAGAGGAGCGGUCUGUUACAUCUUCCCAUUUGGAGAACCUCUGUCAACCGUGCUGUAGCUGGUUCUGCAGAAACAGGAAGUACAGGAUUUCACGGGCUGGCUCCACUCCCCUCGACUGAGCUUCACACUUCUGGAUGCCACAUGCUUUCUCCCAAACACUGCUUUCAGUGCGAGGUAGUGGCCUAAGGGGUUUGGUUGUCAUUUUUUAUUUUUCAUUUUUAAAAUUUUAAAAUUUUUAUUUAUUAUUAUUUUUUAGAGACAAGGCCUCACUCUAUCGCCUAGGCUGAAGUGCAGUGGCGGGAUCACAGCUCAUUACAGCCUUGACCUCCUAGGCUCAGGCCAUCCUCCUGCCUCAGCAUCCAGAGUAGCUGGUGUGCACCACCACACCCGUCUCAUUUUUUCUAUUUUUAUUGUUUUAGAGAUGGGGAUCUCACUGUGUUGCCCAGGCUGGUCUCAAACUCCUGGGCUCAAGCAAUCCUCCCACCUUGGCCUCAAAGUAUUGAGAUUACAGGCAUGAGCCACUGCACCCGGCCUUUCUCAUUGUUAUUUUUAAAUUGACAGACGUAACGGUGCGCAUUUAUCAUGCACAACACAAUGCUUUGGGAAUGGUUAAAUCUAGCUAACAAAUGCAUUACCUCACAUGGUUAUCAUUUUUGUGGUGAGGCUUGGUUGUCUGUUUUGUUUCAUUCGUGUUUUUACAUCCUUGGAGUCUCCUCUGGGUCCGUCCUUUCUUUGCUGUCAUGCUGGCUUGCCUAAGGCCCACCCCCACCUGUGUACGAGCAUUUUAAACUCUGGAGUGAGUGACAGCCUUUUCGUGGUUGAUAUUACUAUUUAUUUCCUGCCUCUAAACUUCUCGUGGUCGUUAUAAACUUGUCAGGAUGUGUGUUACGUUGAAUUCUGCAUGUCGUUUUUUUGCCCACCAUUAGGUUAAACUGGUACUAACUUAUCACCAGAGGAAACAGGGUUAUGAGCACUGACAGAUGUCUUCCCUGGGCCAAAAAAAAAAAAAGUAUAUGUAUACACACACACUAUACAUUUAUAUUUAUAUUUCUUAAAGCUUUUAAUCCCUUUCAUUCCCUGAUAUCUCAGAGAUUUCAAAUCAUUGAACACUGAAGUAUAUUUUUCAGGCCAGAUGAAAAAUUGUAUUAAAACCCUAUUCCUGGUCAGGCGCAGUGGCUCACACCUAUAAUCCCAGCACUUUGGGAGGCCGAGGUAAGCAGAUCACCUGAGGUGGGGAGUUCAAGACCAACCUGGCCAACAUGGUGAAACCCUGUCUCUACUAAAAAUACAAAAAAAUUAGCCUGAUGUGGUGGUGUGUGCCUGUAGUCCCAGCUACUUAGGAGGCUGAGGUAGGAGAAUUGCUUGAACCUGGGAGGCGGAGGUUGCAGUGAGCCAAAAUUACGCCACUGCACUCCAGCCUGGGCAACAGAGUGGGACUGUCUCAAAAACAACUCAACAACAAUAACAACAAAAACCCUAUUCCUUGCCUUUGUAGGAGUCAAAAUAAAUGAACUUCUUUUUUCUUUUUUUUAUUAUUAUACUUUAAGUUCUGGGGUACAUGUGCAGAAUGUGCAGGUUUGUUACAUAGGUAUACACAUGCCGUGGUGGUUUGCUGCACCCAUCAACCUGUCACCUACAUUAGGUAUUUCCCCUAAUGUUAUCCCUCCCCUAGCCCUCCACCCCCCGACAGGCCCCGGUGUGUGAUGUUCCCCUCCCUAUGUCCAUGUGUUCUCAUUGUUCCAAAAUAAAUGAAUUUACACAAAA
rnacentral:sRNA from 1 species